GACGUAGGGCGCGAGCGUUGUCCGGAUUUAUUGGGCGUAAAGAGCUCGUAGGCGGCUUGUCGCGUCGACUGUGAAAACUCGGGGCUCAACUCCGAGCUUGCAGUCGAUACGGGCAGGCUAGAGUUCGGUAGGGGAGACUGGAAUUCCUGGUGUAGCGGUGAAGUGCGCAGAUAUCAGGAGGAACACCGGUGGCGAAGGCGGGUCUCUGGGCCGAUACUGACGCUGAGGAGCGAAAGCGUGGGGAGCGAACAGG
rnacentral:rRNA from 1 species